UACACGUGGUUUCUGGGCAGUGGCGGGGACGGGACACCAGGUGGCGCCAGGGAGCCCCCUGGAGCUGCGCUAUCCUGGAGGACCUGUGAGGACACCUGACUGGUCUUCAGUGUCUGUCCUCCUUGUCAGUUCUCUCUGAUCCUGCUGCCCAGCAUCCCAGGAAGACAGGCCAGAAAUCGUUCUGGACAACCCGUUUCAUCCGUAAAAACAUAUUCUUUCUGCAUCUAGAGUAAAACUAGUUUAGGGUUGUUUGUGGCUGGACACUUUCUGGCACACCUGAGUUUACAACUGAUGGCUAAGUGCAAUGCAGCAGUAUUUAACCAAAGCCUUCGCACCUCCUGCCGUCUUUAUCCUCACAGAAGCCAGUAGUACAGGCAUGAUCACACCCUUUUACAGAUUGAGAAACUGAGGGAGAGAGAGCUGAAGGAGCUUGCUAAUUACCCGGUGAGUUUCUGUCAAAACAAGAGCUACCAUUAGUGGUCCUGACUUCCAGCCCGGUGCUGCUUACCAUGAACAGCAAGCAAGGGGCUUCAAGGACAGGUGGGAGGCAAUUUCAGCCUGGGGUGGGGUUUUUUUGGGGGGGGCGCUAAGAAACUUGCACAAAGUGGCAAAGUCUGGAUUUCAACUUGAGUUCAUUCUUCUCCCACAAGAAUAUAACUGAAGUUUGCAAGAAAGAUGAUCCCUUCAGCUUCCUGAGAAGCAUCUUGUAGAAAACAAAACAAAACAGAACUGACGCAUAACGGUUCUCAGGUCUCUCCCCCUCCCUUCUUUGUCCUGUUUUCUGUUUCUGUUUUCUAGAAGCAGAGAGAUUACAGCACUCCUACUGGACUCUGCUCGGGGCCUUUCAGAAUCUAAAAUGUAUCACAGGAUUCCAUGUCAUCAGAAGGAAUCCAGAGGAGUCCUUGUCAACCGAUCAGAUGAUGCUCCAAUGCAUGAGUCCCUGGGAGCAUGCAAACUAAAGCAACAGCAAGAUACUGUCUCAUCCCCCAGACUGUCCAAAACUAAAGAGCUGGGAAAUAGCAAGAAUUGGAGAGGACAUUCUCCUGCCCCUGGGUGGGAGUGCAAAUCGGUACGGCCACUUUGA
rnacentral:lncRNA from 1 species